AGUGAACGCUGGCGGCAUGCCUAACACAUGCAAGUCGAACGGUAACAGGCCCGCAAGGGUGCUGACGAGUGGCGGACGGGUGAGGAAUACAUCGGAAUUUGCCCAGUCGUGGGGGAUAACGUAGGGAAACUUACGCUAAUACCGCAUACGACCUAACGGUGAAAGCGGGGGACCUGCAAGGGCCUCGCGCGGAUGGAUAAGCCGAUGUCGGAUUAGCUAGUUGGCGGGGUAAGAGCCCACCAAGGCGACGAUCCGUAGCUGGUCUGAGAGGAUGAUCAGCCACACUGGGACUGAGACACGGCCCAGACUCCUACGGGAGGCAGCAGUGGGGAAUAUUGGACAAUGGGGGCAACCCUGAUCCAGCAAUGCCGCGUG
rnacentral:rRNA from 1 species